CGAACGCUGGCGGCAGGCUUAACACAUGCAAGUCGAGCGAGACCUUCGGGUCUAGCGGCGGACGGGUGAGUAACGCGUGGGAACGUGCCCUUCUCUACGGAAUAGCCCCGGGAAACUGGGAGUAAUACCGUAUACGCCCUUUGGGGGAAAGAUUUAUCGGAGAAGGAUCGGCCCGCGUUGGAUUAGGUAGUUGGUGGGGUAAUGGCCCACCAAGCCGACGAUCCAUAGCUGGUUUGAGAGGAUGAUCAGCCACACUGGGACUGAGACACGGCCCAGACUCCUACGGGAGGCAGCAGUGGGGAAUCUUAGACAAUGGGGGCAACCCUGAUCGAGCCAUGCCGCGUGAGUGAUGAAGGCCUUAGGGUUGUAAAGCUCUUUCAGCUGGGAAGAUAAUGACGGUACCAGCAGAAGAAGCCCCGGCUAACUCCGUG
rnacentral:rRNA from 1 species